UACGUAGGGUGCGAGCGUUGUCCGGAAUUACUGGGCGUAAAGAGCUCGUAGGUGGUUUGUCGCGUUGUUCGUGAAAACCUGAGGCUUAACCUUGGGCGUGCGGGCGAUACGGGCAGACUGGAGUACUGCAGGGGAGACUGGAAUUCCUGGUGUAGCGGUGGAAUGCGCAGAUAUCAGGAGGAACACCGGUGGCGAAGGCGGUUCUCUGGGCAUGUCCUGACGCUGAGGAGCGAAAGUGUGGGGAGCGAACAGG
rnacentral:rRNA from 1 species